UGGGGAAUUUUGGACAAUGGGGGCAACCCUGAUCCAGCAAUGCCGCGUGUGUGAAGAAGGCCUUCGGGUUGUAAAGCACUUUUGUCCGGAAAGAAAACGCCGUGGUUAAUACCCGUGGCGGAUGACGGUACCGGAAGAAUAAGCACCGGCUAACUACGUGCCAGCAGCCGCGGUAAUACGUAGGGUGCAAGCGUUAAUCGGAAUUACUGGGCGUAAAGCGUGCGCAGGCGGUCCGCUAAGACAGAUGUGAAAUCCCCGGGCUUAACCUGGGAACUGCAUUUGUGACUGGCGGGCUAGAGUAUGGCAGAGGGGGGUAGAAUUCCACGUGUAGCAGUGAAAUGCGUAGAGAUGUGGAGGAAUACCGAUGGCGAAGGCAGCCCCCUGGGCCAAUACUGACGCUCAUGCACGAAAGCGUGGGGGAGCAAACAGGAUUAGAUACCCUGGUAGUCCACGCCCUAACGAUGUCAACUAGUUGUUGGGGAUUCAUUUUCCUUAGUAACGUAGCUAACGCGUGAAGUUGACCGCCUGGGGAGUACGGUCGCAA
rnacentral:rRNA from 1 species